GACGAACCGUGCGUACGUUGUUCGGAAUCAUUGGGCGUAAAGGGCACGUAGGCGGCCUGGCAAGUGGAAGGUGAAAUCCCUCGGCUUAACCGAGGAACUGCCCUCCAAACUGCUUGGCUUGAGACCGGGAGAGGUGAGUGGAAUUCCCAGUGUAGCGGUGAAAUGCGUUGAUAUUGUGAGGAACGCCGGAGGCGAAAGCGGCGCACUGGAUCUCUUCUGACGCUGAGGCGCGGAAGCUAGGGGAGCAAACGGG
rnacentral:rRNA from 1 species